GGCCACAUUGGGACUGAGACACGGCCCAAACUCCUACGGGAGGCUGCAGUAGGGAAUCUUCCACAAUGGGCGAAAGCCUGAUGGAGCAACGCCGCGUGUGUGAUGAAGGCUUUCGGGUCGUAAAGCACUGUUGUAUGGGAAGAAAAGUUAAGGUAGGGAAUGACCUUAGCCUGACGGUACCAUACCAGAAAGGGACGGCUAAAUACGUGCCAGCAGCCGCGGUAAUACGUAUGUCCCGAGCGUUAUCCGGAUUUAUUGGGCGUAAAGCGAGCGCAGACGGUUGGUUAAGUCUGAUGUGAAAGCCCGGAGCUCAACUCCGGAAAGGCAUUGGAAACUGGUUAACUUGAGUGCAGUAGAGGUAAGUGGAACUCCAUGUGUAGCGGUGGAAUGCGUAGAUAUAUGGAAGAACACCAGCGGCGAAGGCGGCUUACUGGACUGUAACUGACGUUGAGGCUCGAAAGUGUGGGUAGCAAACAGGAUUAGAUACCCUGGUAGUCCACACCGUAAACGAUGAACACUAGGUGUUAGGAGGUUUCCGCCUCUUAGUGCCGAAGCUAACGCAUUAAGUGUUCCGCCUGGGGAGUACGACCGCAAGGUUGAAACUCAAAGGAAUUGACGGGGACCCGCACAAGCGGUGGAGCAUGUGGUUUAAUUCGAAGCAACGCGAAGAACCUUACCAGGUCUUGACAUCCUUUGAAGCUUUUAGAAAUAGAAGUGUUCUCUUCGGAGACAAAGUGACAGGUGGUGCAUGGUCGUCGUCAGCUCGUGUCGUGAGAUGUUGGGUUAAGUCCCGCAACGAGCGCAACCCUUAUUGUUAGUUGCCAGCAUUCAGAUGGGCACUCUAGCGAGACUGCCGGUGACAAACCGGAGGAAGGCGGGGACGACGUCAGAUCAUCAUGCCCCUUAUGACCUGGGCUACACACGUGCUACAAUGGCGUAUACAACGAGUUGCCAACCUGCGAAGGUGAGCUAAUCUCUUAAAGUACGUCUCAGUUCGGACUGCAGUCUGCAACUCGACUGCACGAAGUCGGAAUCGCUAGUAAUCGCGGAUCAGCACGCCGCGGUGAAUACGUUCCCGGGUCUUGUACACACCGCCCGUCACACCAUGGAAGUUUGUAAUGCCCAAAGCCGGUGGCCUAACCGUAAGGAGGAACC
rnacentral:rRNA from 1 species